rnacentral:rRNA from 1 species
GGCGAACGGCUGAGUAACACGUAAGUAACCUGCCUUGGAGUGGGAAAUAACUCGCCGAAAGGCGGGCUAAUGUCCCAUGUGGUAACGAAGCAAAUGAUUGGUUAUUAAAGCCUUCGGGUGCUCCAAGAGGGGCUUGCGUCUGAUUAGCUAGUUGGUAGGGUAAUGGCCUACCAAGGCGAUGAUCAGUAGCUGGUCUGAGAGGAUGUCCAGCCAGAUGGGGACUGGGACACGGCCCCAACUCCUACGGGAGGCAGCAGCAAGGAAUUUUGGGCAAUGAGCGAAAGCUUGACCCAGCGACACCGCGUGAGGGAAGAAGGCCUUCGGGUUGUAAACCUCUUUUUUUGGGGAAGAAUUAUGACGGUACCCAAGGAAUAAGCCUCGGCCAACUACGUGCCAGCAGCCGCGGUAAGACGUAGGAGGCGAACGUUAUUCAGAUUUACUGGGCGUAAAGGGAGCGUAGGCGGUUCCUGAAGUCAGAUGUAAAAUCUUCUGACUUAAUCAGAAGGCGUCAUUUGAUACCAAGGGACUUGAGAAAAGCAGAGGGAAAUGGAAUCCCCAGUGUAGCGGUGAAAUGCGUAGAUAUUGCGGAGAACACCAGUGGCGAAGGCGAUUUUCCAUGCCAUUUCUGACGCUGAGGCUCGAAAGCGUGGGGAGCGAAGCGGAUUAGAUACCCGCGUAGUCCACGCCCUAAACGGUGGACACUAGACAUAGGAGGUAUCGACCCUUUCUGUGUAGAAGCUAACGCCUUAAGUGUCCCGCCUGGUGCGUACGGCCGCAAGGC